CGUGUGUACGAUUCUUUGAAGUGGACUUAUUUUUAACUAUACAUAUACUGACAACGAGCGCCCUCUUUUUCUGAUGAAUGAUCCUGUCAACGUCUAUUAGUAGCUUGAGCAGUUGUGUUCACUUCCGGUUUUUAAUAAAUGUGAUCACAUCGGUGCGUGUCAUGUGCGAAAAGUGUCAACAACACGACGGACGGAAUUAUGUUAACGCCAAAACAAGGACGUAUGAUCACAAUGCUGUACGUGCGGUUGACGAUCUGGUUGUUUUCGCUUGAUCCUUCUGAGGAAUCCGCAGCUAAUUAUUAUUUUUAACUGCUUUCGGAUUCAUUUUUCGUUGCGAAUAAUCAAUCCAACGUUGUGAUUUACUUUAUUCUGUGUCGUACAUUUGUGCAGGAUUUUGUGUUUACGACCAAUGACUACAUAUUUACUAACGUUUUUUCUCCUCUAUUUGUCUGGUUACGGUUAUUCUUACCUACCAUCAUCAUCGUAAGAGAGCGUUGUUUUUGUUUUUGGUACCCGGUGAUGAUGUGAUGUGAUGAAAUGCUUGGGACUAUAUCCAAGGUGUCAGGGUAGAAAAGGUACAGUUGAGUAACGAGUCUUGGUUUGGACGGAUCGAGCAGUUGAAAUCAGUUUGUGAAGUGCCUACGUACGAAUAAGUGCACCAAAAAUGGGUAAAGGCAAAGGUGGAGGCGGAGGUGGUGGUGCUGGAGCGAAUCCUGGUGGCAAUCAAAAAGGCGGUGGAGGAGGUAAACCCAAAGGUGGAAAUGAAAAUAAAAGUGCUUCUGGAGGUAAGGCAGGAGACAAGGGAGGAAAAAAGGGUGGCAAUAAAAAGUAAGGACGGAACCGUGGUCAGCUUCAACCCUUUCCCCAAUCAGCACGAGAUACAGAUGAUGCCGUUUCGAAAAAGAUAGAACAAUUGGACUGUGAAAUUUUAGCCUACGGAUUUGUUCCAAUGGCUCGAUUAGCUUAUGAACUUCAAAAGUAUUUAUUUUCUGUGUACUGCUGUGUUAAACGAAUAUGUGUUGUGUAUAUAUCUUCUAAGGUGUAUUUAAAUAAGGUGGAAUAAAAAGACGCAAAUCUGUUUUGCAUACUGACCUUCAUAA